AGAGUUUGAUCCUGGCUCAGAAUGAACGCUGGCGGCGUGUUUAAGACAUGCAAGUCGCACGGGGGAAUGUGAGUAGCAAUACAAGCAUUCUUCAGUGGCGCACGGGUGCGUAACACGUGAGUUACAUGCCCUGCAGAGGGGGAUAGCCCAGGGAAACUUGGAUUAAUACCCCAUGGUCUCGCAAGAGUAAAGGUGGCGAAAGCUGCCGCUGCAGGAUUGGCUCGCGGCCUAUCAGCUAGUUGGUGAGGUAACGGCUCACCAAGGCUACGACGGGUACCUGGUCUGAGAGGACGAUCAGGCACACUGGAACUGAGACACGGUCCAGACACCUACGGGUGGCAGCAGUCGAGAAUCAUUCACAGUGGGGGCAACCCUGAUGGUGCAACGCCGCGUGGAGGAUGAAGGUCUUCGGAUUGUAAACUCCUGUCAUCUAGGAGCAAGGCAUGGUGGUUAAUAGCCAACAUGAUUGAUAGUACUAGAAGAGGAAGGGACGGCUAACUUCGUGCCAGCAGCCGCGGUAAUACGAAGGUCCCGAGCGUUAUUCGGAAUCACUGGGCGUAAAGGGAGCGUAGGCGGCGUGGAAAGUCAGAUGUGAAAUCCCGGNG
rnacentral:rRNA from 1 species